rnacentral:rRNA from 1 species
ACGGCAGCGCGGGAGCAAUCCUGGCGGCGAGUGGCGAACGGGUGAGUAAUACAUCGGAACGUGCCCAAUCGUGGGGGAUAACGCAGCGAAAGCUGUGCUAAUACCGCAUACGAUCUACGGAUGAAAGCAGGGGAUCGCAAGACCUUGCGCGAAUGGAGCGGCCGAUGGCAGAUUAGGUAGUUGGUGAGGUAAAGGCUCACCAAGCCUUCGAUCUGUAGCUGGUCUGAGAGGACGACCAGCCACACUGGGACUGAGACACGGCCCAGACUCCUACGGGAGGCAGCAGUGGGGAAUUUUGGACAAUGGGCGAAAGCCUGAUCCAGCCAUGCCGCGUGCAGGAUGAAGGCCUUCGGGUUGUAAACUGCUUUUGUACGGAACGAAACGGCCUUUUCUAAUAAAGAGGGCUAAUGACGGUACCGUAAGAAUAAGCACCGGCUAACUACGUGCCAGCAGCCGCGGUAAUACGUAGGGUGCAAGCGUUAAUCGGAAUUACUGGGCGUAAAGCGUGCGCAGGCGGUUAUGUAAGACAGUUGUGAAAUCCCCGGGCUCAACCUGGGAACUGCAUCUGUGACUGCAUAGCUAGAGUACGGUAGAGGGGGAUGGAAUUCCGCGUGUAGCAGUGAAAUGCGUAGAUAUGCGGA